UGCAGUGUUACACCCCUUCUGUAUAGACCCCCUGAGUGUGUAAUAAACAGCCUGAGACUAUUUGUUCUCUGCCUGAGUGUCUGAAAAGCUGCAAUCCCGGGGAUGGAGGGGUGUCUCCCAGCCAAAUUGCAGAGGAGGAAAUGGGAGAGGCUGAUUCUUGAUCCUCCUCAGCCCCUGGUUUCACUGGUGCAGACGUGCUGGAUGGGGCAGGAGAGUGGGGAUGGGAUGGGCUGGGCAGGCACAGAUGGAGCCAGGCUCACCUGCAGCCACAGCUGCAGGUGUCCCACAGCUGCCCCUGUCCCAUAAGCUGUGCCCAAGGCUUAGACCCAGCUGCGGUGUGGCUACUCGGGGACCACUUGCAAAUGUGCUGUCUCAGCCUUGGCAGCUUCCCUGCUCCUCCCUGGCACCAUCAUAGAAUUUCUCAGGUUGGAAAAGACCUCUAAGAUCACCAGGUCUAACCAUUAACACAGCACUGCCAAGCCCACCACUAAACCCUGUCCCCAUCUCUGCACUCCUGCCUGCACAGCACCAGCCUCCAUCCCAUUCCCUCCCUGAAGACAUCCAGGGCUUAUCAACAGCUUGCAGGUGGAGGAAGGGGCUAUGCAACUUGAGCAGGGCCUUUAAACCUCCUGUUUCUGCUCCUUUGCAUUCAGCACUUCCCUGAUUUCUUGGCAGGCUCUGCUGGAGUGCCUUUCAGGUUUGACCAUUCCUGAUUGCCACCUCUGUGGUGCCCCGCUGGUUUAGGGGAAAUGGGGGGCAGACUGCCACAGCAGAGACCCCAACACAGCACAGCUCACCCUAGCUCCUCCCCUUCCUUCUCCCUGCCUCCCCUUCCCAAUCUAUUUCUGUAUCUUCUCCUAAUUCCAGUCUAACAGUGUAAAAAUACAAAAAUACCGCGGCCAGAAACUCUCCUCAGAGCUUGACUGUGCAUUGAGGCACUUUGCACCCUGUCACCAAACCCUUGUUUUCCUAUUCCCCACCCCGUUUCUGUAGCUUGGGGCUGAAACCUUCCUUUCUGUGUUUUCCAAAGUGGCUGGCAUUUCGCAAACACUCGCCCAGAACCGCCAGCAGCAAUCCCUG
rnacentral:lncRNA from 1 species